rnacentral:rRNA from 1 species
UACGAAGGGGGCUAGCGUUGCUCGGAAUCACUGGGCGUAAAGGGCGCGUAGGCGGCCAUUCAAGUCGGAGGUGAAAGCCCAGGGCUCAACCCUGGAAUUGCCUUCGAUACUGUUUGGCUAGAGACCGGAAGAGGUAAGUGGAACUGCGAGUGUAGAGGUGAAAUUCGUAGAUAUUCGGAAGAACACCAGUGGCGAAGGCGGCUCACUGGUCCGGUACUGACGCUGAGGUGCGAAAGCGUGGGGAGCAAACAGG